UAAUACGUAGGACGCAAGCGUUAUCCGGAAUUACUGGGCGUAAAGAGCGUGUAGGCGGUUGUCCAAGUCACUUGUGAAAGCUCUCGGCUAAACUGGGAGAGGUCAGGUGAGACUGGACGGCUAGAGGGUUGUAGAGGGGUGUGGAAUUCCGGGUGUAGUGGUGAAAUGCGUAGAGAUCCGGAGGAACACCAGAGGCGAAGGCGGCACCCUGGACAACACCUGACGCUGAGACGCGAAAGCGCGGGGAGCAAACGGG
rnacentral:rRNA from 1 species